UACGUAGGUGGCAAGCGUUGUCCGGAAUUAUUGGGCGUAAAGCGCGCGCAGGCGGUCCUUUAAGUCUGAUGUGAAAGCCCACGGCUCAACCGUGGAGGGUCAUUGGAAACUGGGGGACUUGAGUGCAGGAGAGAAGAGUGGAAUUCCACGUGUAGCGGUGAAAUGCGUAGAUAUCGAGAGGAACACCUGCGGCGAAGGCGGGUUGCUGGGCUGACACUGACGCUGAUGCGCGAAAGCCAGGGGAGCGAACGGG
rnacentral:rRNA from 1 species